ACUCAAAUGAAUUGACGGGGACCCGCACAAGCGGUGGAGCGUGUUGUUUAAUUCGAUGAUAAGCGAAGAACCUUACCAAGGCUUGACAUCCCUGGAAUUUCUCCGAAAGGAGAGAGUGCCUUCGGGAAUCAGGUGACAGGUGAUGCAUGGCCGUCGUCAGCUCGUGUCGUGAGAUGUUUGGUUAAGUCCAUUAACGAGCGCAACCCUUGUAAAUAGUUGAAUUUUUCUAUUUAGACUGCCUCGGUAACGGGGAGGAAGGAGGGGAUGAUGUCAGGUCAGUAUUUCCCUUACGCCUUGGGCUACAAACACGCUACAAUGGCCGGUACAAAGGGCAGCCAACCCGCGAGGGGGAGCAAAUCCCAUCAAAACCGGUCCCAGUUCGGAUUGUAGGCUGAAACUCGCCUGCAUGAAGUCGGAAUCGCUAGUAACGGUGAGUCAGCUAUAUUACCGUGAAUACGUUCCCGGGUCUUGCACACACCGCCCGU
rnacentral:rRNA from 1 species